UACGUAGGGUGCUAGCGUUGUUCGGAAUCAUUGGGCGUAAAGCGCGUGUAGGCGGCUUGUUAAGUCGGGUGUGAAAUCCCUGGGCUCAACCCAGGAAGUGCAUUCGAAACUAGCUAGCUAGAAGAUGGUAGAGGAAGGUGGAAUUCCAAGUGUAGAGGUGAAAUUCGUAGAUAUUUGGAGGAAUACCAGUGGCGAAGGCGGCCUUCUGGACCAUUCUUGACACUGAGACGCGAAAGCGUGGGGAGCAAACGGG
rnacentral:rRNA from 1 species